GCAGAGUUUCAGUUUUGCAAGAUGAGAAGAGUUUUGGAGACAAAUGGUGGGGAGGGUUACGCAACAACGAGGAUGUGCUUCAUGCCACUGACAUGUACACUUAAUGGUCAAGAUGGUAAAUUUCAUGUUUUGUGGAUCUUACCACAGUUUUAAAAAUUGGAAAAAGAUAGGAAGUAAAUCUCAACAAGUGCUAUGUUUGCAUGUGAUACAAAAUGAACAAACAUAUGUACCUGGCUGUUGAUAGAGCUAGGAUACUGAGACCCUCUAGAUCUUUUAACUUAGAGAAAACUGUCUUUAAAAUUUAUUUUGGCCUGAAGAACACUAAACAGUUGGGAUAGUGGUCACGAAUCCUACUUUUUACUACAUGGAAAUAAAUCAAAAUGUGCAGAAAAAUGAGUGAAUAAGAGAUAAGUGUUUAUAUUGGUUAUUAGUGUUUUUAAUUCCUCAUGAACUGUAAACCCUAGAUUCACGUAGACCUAGCUUUAUUUUGGAAACUAGACACUGAAAUAGAGCACCUGUGCUGAAGAUAGCCACGAUUUUAUUCAUCUCAUUUGGAGACUUGACACUUUCAGAAUGAAAGCAGCAAAUACGACAAAUAUGACUGCAUGAAGACAAAAGCCUAAAAAUUUUUGAAUAUCGAAAUAAUGUCGGAAACGAUGUUUUGCAUUUUGGAGAUAUGAUGCCAUGGAAAGAGAGCGACGCUGGAAAUCACUUAACGGUGGUGCUGCCACUUCACGACCCACCACUGAGCACUGUCAAGUCAGCACUGGGACCAGGAACGACAGAGGAUCCAGACCCAGGCCAGGAUCUCCCUUGAGGGCUGUGAGGUGGUCAAGAUCUGGCAAUAUACAAGCUGGGUUCAAAAGGAAGCAUCAGGGUCGACCACAGGCCUGUUCAUAGCUGGUCUGGCGCUGCAGGACGAGCCGCGUCUUAUGACCUUGUCAACUAGCAGCAGCCCCCUGUAGCACGUGUAAGCUAAACAUCUCAUGGUUGAAGCUGGAGCCUUUGUGGUCAGAGGGACACCUGCCUGCAGCCCAUGAGCACCCAACAGAGUCUCCUAACACAGGGACGUAGCUGGACUUAUGCACACACCUGCAGCCUCACAGGGCACACCACCAGUGACUCUCCUGUCCUUAUGGCAGGAGAGGCCUUUACC
rnacentral:lncRNA from 1 species